rnacentral:rRNA from 1 species
UGCCCUAGUAACGGCGAGUGAAGCGGCAACAGCUCAAAUUUGAAAUCUGGCUCUCGGGCCCGAGUUGUAAUUUGUAGAGGAUACUUUUGAUGCGGUGCCUUCCGAGUUCCCUGGAACGGGACGCCAUAGAGGGUGAGAGCCCCGUCUGGUUGGAUGCCAAAUCUCUGUAAAGUUCCUUCAACGAGUCGAGUAGUUUGGGAAUGCUGCUCUAAAUGGGAGGUAUAUGUCUUCUAAAGCUAAAUACCGGCCAGAGACCGAUAGCGCACAAGUAGAGUGAUCGAAAGAUGAAAAGCACUUUGAAAAGAGAGUUAAAAAGUACGUGAAAUUGUUGAAAGGGAAGCGUUUAUGACCAGACUUGGGCUUGGUUAAUCAUCUGGGGUUCUCCCCAGUGCACUUUUCCAGUCCAGGCCAGCAUCAGUUUUCCCCGGGGGAUAAAGGCGGCGGGAAUGUGGCUCUCUUCGGGGAGUGUUAUAGCCCGUCGUGUAAUACCCUGGGGGGGACUGAGGUUCGCGCAUCUGCAAGGAUGCUGGCGUAAUGGUCAUCAACGACCCGUCUUGAAACACGGACCAAGGAGUCGUCUUCGUAUGCGAGUGUUCGGGUGUCAAACCCCUACGCGUAAUGAAAGUGAACGCAGGUGAGAGCUUCGGCGCAUCAUCGACCGAUCCUGAUGUUCUCGGAUGGAUUUGAGUAAGAGCAUACGGGGCCGGACCCGAAAGAAGGUGAACUAUGCCUGUAUAGGGUGAAGCCAGAGGAAACUCUGGUGGAGGCUCGCAGCGGUUCUGACGUGCAAAUCGAUCGUCAAAUAUGGGCAUG